rnacentral:rRNA from 1 species
GGUCUUGACAUCCCGGAGACCCUUAGGAAACUAGGGGUGCUUCCAUCUGGAAGAAUCUGGAGACAGGUGCUGCAUGGCUGUCGUCAGCUCGUGUCGUGAGAUGUUGGGUUAAGUCCCGCAACGAGCGCAACCCUUGCCUUUAGUUGCCAGCAGUUCGGGCUGGGCACUCUAAAGGGACUGCCGGUGUUAAACCGGAGGAAGGUGGGGAUGACGUCAAGUCCUCAUGGCCUUUAUGACCAGGGCUACACACGUACUACAAUGGCCGAUACAAAGGGCAGCGACACUGCGAGGUGAAGCCAAUCCCGUAAAAUCGGUCUCAGUCCGGAUUGGAGUCUGCAACUCGACUCCAUGAAGUUGGAAUCGCUAGUAAUCGUGGAUCAGCAUGCCACGGUGAAUACGUUCCCGGGCCUU